AGCACCCGCGGUAAAUCCAGCUCCAAUAGCGUAUAUUAAAUUUGUUGCAGUUAAAAAGCUCGUAGUUGAAUUUCGAGAUCAAAUUGUUGGUCGUGCCUCGGUACGCACUGGCAUUAUUGAUUUCUCCCUUCUGAAGAACCUUGAUGUCAUUAAUUUGGUGUCUUGGGGAAUCAGGACCGUUACUUUGAAAAAAUUAGAGUGUUUAAAGCAGGCUCACGCUUGAAUACAUUAGCAUGGAAUAAUGAAAUAGGACGUUUGAUUCUAUUUUGUUGGUUUCUAGGAUCGACGUAAUGAUUGAUAGGGAUAGUUGGGGGCAUUAGUAUUCAAUUGUCAGAGGUGAAAUUCUUGGAUUUAUUGAAGACUAACUACUGCGAAAGCAUUUGCCAAGGAUGUUUUCAUU
rnacentral:rRNA from 1 species